rnacentral:rRNA from 1 species
AAAUUGAAGAGUUUGAUCAUGGCUCAGAUUGAACGCUGGCGGCAGGCCUAACACAUGCAAGUCGAACGGUAACAGGAAGCAGCUUGCUGCUUUGCUGACGAGUGGCGGACGGGUGAGUAAUGUCUGGGAAACUGCCUGAUGGAGGGGGAUAACUACUGGAAACGGUGGCUAAUACCGCAUAACGUCGCAAGACCAAAGAGGGGGACCUUCGGGCCUCUUGCCAUCAGAUGUGCCCAGAUGGGAUUAGCUAGUUGGUGAGGUAACGGCUCACCAAGGCGACGAUCCCUA